GCGGAGGGCCACUCCACUCUAUGGCACUCUGUACAUUUUAAAAAGGAGGAAUAAAAUUCCGUAGGCUCGCGGUGCGGCAGUGUGGAGACCUGUCGUAAUGUGGCAUACCCUAUACGGGUAGCCAUGAGGCGAUUUUGGCGGAGGCCGGGUCGCUAGAGUCGGAAAGUAUGU
rnacentral:ncRNA from 1 species